UAAUAAUUUGUAUCUCAUACGUACACCAUUUUUAUUAGAAAAGGGUCUCGAAAUUAUUAUCUAGUUUAUUUGCUGUGUUAUGUAAUAUACAAAAGAUAAGUAAAUAUCCGUAAUCAAAUGAUAGAUCUUUCUUUAUUGUUUUUCAGUGAGAUAACUUGAUGCCUAGAUUAUAGAUUUAUAAUGUACAUAAUUUACGUCUUAAGAAGGAAUUUCAAAAUUAUUACUUGGUUAUUGGAUGUAUUCUGAAACAUUAAAAAAUUAAGCAGGUAAAUAUCAAAAUUCAAACGACAUCCUUUUCUCUUUGUUUAUUU
rnacentral:lncRNA from 1 species